CUAUUGUGCACAUAUCCUAGGGAAGGGGAUUUUCUCUUUAAAAUUGUCUCCACAGCUUCUCCUUGAUGUGCUGUGUGGAUUCCCAGUGACACGAUGGGAGGCUGGCCAUGGCCUCCUCUUCUAAAAGUCAGGAGGCUGGGAUGACCUCUUGAUUUCACAACUUUCUAUGGUUCCCAGGAACCCCCAGUGGCACCAGAGACACCGGGACGCUCAUCUGGAGUUCAGAUGAAGUUUGAGGUGCAAAGCCAGAGGUCAAGAUGCAGAGAGAGGGCCACGGUGCUGCUGCCCUGUGGACUGGCCUCCCGGAAGCUCCCACAAAUGAGUUCUGCAAAUGGACUUCCAAAAUCAAUAGGCUGCAGAAAUCUAUCUGGCCUGCAAAACCUUCCUUGGUCCCCUUCACAUCCACCAAUGCCCCUGGCUCUCACUCCGCUGUUCGUACUCCCCUCUACCCCACACUGCUGGGCAGGCACAACACGGGCCUGUGAAAUGAUACCAGAGGUGAGCAGUAAGAAAAGGGGGGUGGAAAAUAAAGCUCUUUGGGACUUGAGCUGGCCUUCUGUGCUCAUGCCAGCCCAAGCUGUUGAGAGCUUCUCCUCUUCGGAUGUGGUCCCAGAGCACUGACCAUCUUCCACUUACUGUCCGAGUCUUGCUUUACAAUAUUAAAGGCUACCACUUAAGCAAAUGUUGAUUUCCAGGCCUGGUUCUCUAAACUUUAGAAUCAUUUAUCCCCCUUCCCUUUAUUUUGUUUGCAUACCAGCCCUGAAGGGAUUGUCCCUGCCUUACAAAGGAGGACCCUGAGAUUCAGAGAGGUAAUAGACUUACUUGCUCAAGUCAAAAGUUGAGCAUGGCUCAGCUGGGAAUCUAACCCAUUGCUGGUUUUACUAAAGUAAAAUUCAAUUCUUAGGGCUGCAUUUUACCACAAAGAUAGCAGUAGGUUGUUGGGAGUGAGCUGUACAUUUCUAAUGUGGCAGGCAAUUGGAAAUAUCCAUGCUAAGAAUGACAAGCAUGUUGCAAUGUUUACGGAAAAUGAGACACUGUGAUUAAAGACUGCUCCGUGGAACUAAUCGCCAGGAUUUUUGUAUUGUGGUUCAAAAGAGGAAAUGAAACCAACAGCCCUGGAGACAUGGAAGACCGUCUAUUCCACUCUAACCAGGGGUGGUUGUCAAAGGAAACUGCCAUUUUGUCUUGCUAACUUGACCUGAAAGUUAAUUAAGAAUUUACAACCACGCUACCAAUUGAUUUUGCACUAUCUGCCACAAUAGUGAGCUUUCUGAUUAAAAUGGC
rnacentral:lncRNA from 1 species